rnacentral:rRNA from 1 species
GACGAACGCUGGCGGCGUGCUUAACACAUGCGAGUCGAACGGAAAGGCCCUGCUUUUGUGGGGUGCUCGAGUGGCGAACGGGUGAGUAACACGUGAGUAACCUGCCCUUGACUUUGGGAUAACUUCAGGAAACUGGGGCUAAUACCGGAUAGGAGCUCCUGCUGCAUGGUGGGGGUUGGAAAGUUUCGGCGGUUGGGGAUGGACUCGCGGCUUAUCAGCUUGUUGGUGGGGUAGUGGCUUACCAAGGCUUUGACGGGUAGCCGGUCUGAGAGGGUGACCGGCCACAUUGGGACUGAGAUACGGCCCAGACUCCUACGGGAGGCAGCAGUGGGGAAUAUUGCACAAUGGGCGGAAGCCUGAUGCAGCAACGCCGCGUGCGGGAUGACGGCCUUCGGGUUGUAAACCGCUUUCGCCUGUGACGAAGCGUGAGUGACGGUAAUGGGUAAAGAAGCACCGGCUAACUACGUG